rnacentral:rRNA from 1 species
UAGAGUAAUGCGUGACCAACCUGCCCCAUGCUCCAGAAUAGCUCUUGGAAACGGGUGGUAAUGCUGGAUGCUCCAACUUGACGCAUGUCUUGUUGGGAAAGUGUUUAGUGGCAUGGGAUGGGGUCGCGUCCUAUCAGCUUGUAGGCGGGGUAAUGGCCCACCUAGGCUUCGACGGGUAGCCGGCCUGAGAGGGCGGACGGCCACAUUGGGACUGAGAUACGGCCCAGACUCCUACGGGAGGCAGCAGAA